GAAAUUUGCGGCACAUAUACUAAAAUUGGAACGAUACAGAGAAGAUUAGCAUGGCCCCUGUGCAAGGAUAACAUGAAAAAUUCGUGAGGCAUUCCAUACAAAU